rnacentral:rRNA from 1 species
GAUAUCAGGAGGAACACCGAUGGCGAAGGCAGGUCUCUGGGCAUUAACUGACGCUGAGGAGCGAAAGCAUGGGGAGCGAACAGGAUUAGAUACCCUGGUAGUCCAUGCCGUAAACGUUGGGCACUAGGUGUGGGGGACAUUCCACGUUUUCCGCGCCGUAGCUAACGCAUUAAGUGCCCCGCCUGGGGAGUACGGCCGCAAGGCUAAAACUCAAAGGAAUUGACGGGGGCCCGCACAAGCGGCGGAGCAUGCGGAUUAAUUCGAUGCAACGCGAAGAACCUUACCAAGGCUUGACAUGGACCGGACCGCCGCAGAAAUGUGGUUUCCCCUUUGGGGCCGGUUCACAGGUGGUGCAUGGUUGUCGUCAGCUCGUGUCGUGAGAUGUUGGGUUAAGUCCCGCAACGAGCGCAACCCUCGUUCCAUGUUGCCAGCGCGUAAUGGCGGGGACUCAUGGGAGACUGCCGGGGUCAACUCGGAGGAAGGUGGGGACGACGUCAAAUCAUCAUGCCCCUUAUGUCUUGGGCUUCACGCAUGCUACAAUGGCCGGUACAAAGGGUUGCGAUACUGUGAGGUGGAGCUAAUCCCAAAAAGCCGGUCUCAGUUCGGAUUGGGGUCUGCAACUCGACCCCAUGAAGUCGGAGUCGCUAGUAAUCGCAGAUCAGCAACGCUGCGGUGAAUACGUUCCCGGGCCUUGUACACACCGCCCGUCAAGUCACGAAAGUUGGUAACACCCGAAGCCGGUGGCCUAACCCCUUGUGGGAGGGAGCUGUCGAAGGUGGGACUGGCGAUUGGGACUAAGU